rnacentral:rRNA from 1 species
GACGAACACUGGCGGCGUGCCUAACACAUGCAAGUCGAGCGGAGUUGAUCGACGGAGCCUUCGGCGGAAGAUGAUUAACUUAGCGGCGGACGGGUGAGUAACGCGUGGGCGAACCUGCCUCAUACAGGGGGAUAACACAGGGAAACUUGUGCUAAUACCGCAUAAUAUCAUUGGGUGGCAUCACCUGAUGAUCAAAGGAGAAAUCCGGUAUGAGAUGGGCCCGCGUCCGAUUAGUUAGUUGGUGAGGUAACGGCUCACCAAGGCGACGAUCGGUAGCCGAACUGAGAGGUUGAUCGGCCACAUUGGGACUGAGACACGGCCCAGACUCCUACGGGAGGCAGCAGUGGGGAAUAUUGCGCAAUGGGGGAAACCCUGACGCAGCAACGCCGCGUGAAGGAAGAAGGCCUUCGGGUUGUAAACUUCUUUGAUUGGGGACGAAGGAAGUGACGGUACCCAAAAAACAAGCCACGGCUAACUACGUG